AUGAGGUCAUGAGGGUGGGACCUUCAUGAUGGGAUUAGUGCUCCCUAUAAGAAGAGACUCUAGAAAGUCUCUCUAUCUUUCUCUCUCUCACUCUCCCUCGUUCUUACUCUCACUCUCCCUCUCUUUCUCUCCAACCAUAUGCACUGCGAAAAGGCCACGUGAAGACACAACAAGAAGACAGCUAUCUGUAACUCAAGGAGAGAGCCUCACCAGACACCAAUCCUGCUGCAGCAGAAAAUGGACAGAGACAGAAGACAACAUCCUAAAAUAAAGAAAGAUCUGAAACUGCAGAUAAGAUUUGCAAAGCUACAGUUUGUGCUCUCAGACUAAUUUACUCAAGAAAUAAAAACUCCAAUGGGCAACCCAGCAAAGAAAUCAAGUCAGCUAUGAGGGGACACAGGUGAGCUUGCCUCAAUGUUCCUCCCUGCAAUAGUCAAUGUCAAAAGAUGAAAGGAAAACUCACAGAAUUCAAGGGUUGGAAGUGGGCAGGAUAUGAUCCAUGAUUUUUAU
rnacentral:lncRNA from 1 species